CCGUCUUAAUAAGUCGUAAAAUUUCAAUAAUUUUUACUCGAGGUUGAUAAGGUGAUAGUAAUGGCAAUAAGUUAGCCUUGGAGAGUAGAGAAAAGGAAGCCAUUGAUGGCGAACAAGCUCCUCAGCGAAAUGGGUCUUCCCAACUCCAUAGCCAACAUUUUUGCUGCUCGUAACCUUAUUACUGCCAAGGACGUAUUUUCACUGACAGAAUUUGAGUUGAUGGAAUUGCUAGAUGUGGAUUUGGCUGUAGUAACAUCAGCAGUGGCACACAUCAGUGAAAUUACAUGCCCUCCGUACCAAACUGCACUGUCAUUGUUGGAACAGCGUGGUCAAAAUGAGAACAUGGCUGGCCAUCUUCCAACUUCUCUAAAAGGACUCGAUAAUGCUCUGUGUGGGGGAAUUCCUUUUGGUGUUGUGACAGAGCUAGUGGGUCCAGCAGGCAUUGGUAAAACCCAGUUCUGCUUGAAGCUUUCAUUACUAGCUUCUCUUCCUUCGAGUUAUGGCGGCUUAGAUGGCUCUGUAAUUUAUAUCGAUACAGAAUCCAAAUUUAGUUCACGGAGGAUGAUAGAAAUAGGAUUUAAUAGCUUCCCAGAAGUAUUUCAGACCGAAGGGAUGGCACAGGAGAUGGCUGGAAGGAUCCUGGUUCUAAGGCCAACAUCACUUUCUGAAUUUACUGAUAGUUUGCAGAAAAUCAAAGUUUCACUAUUUCAGCACGGUGUGAAAUUGCUGAUCAUUGACAGCAUGGCUGCUCUUCUUUCAGGUGAAGGUGUACAAGGACCUCAGAGACAACACUCAUUGGGUUGGCAUAUAUCAUUUAUUAAAUCAGUUGCAGAAUUUUCACGAAUUCCUGUAGUAGUGACCAAUCAAGUGAGAUCUCAAAGUCGUGAUGGAACUUCCCACUAUUCUUUCCAAGAGCAAAGCAGAGGUGAAAGUCCAGUAGCUGCCUCAAAACUUGAUUCUCAUCUUGUUGCUGCUUUAGGGAUCCACUGGGCUCAUGCUGUUAGUAUUCGUCUUAUAUUUGAAUCAAGAUCAGUGAGCACUGUUCAAUGUUCAGUGCUUCAGAGUUCAGUAGCUCCAAGCCUCCAACAUAAAAAGAAAAACAUAGCACUCACUACCACUGAAAACAGAGCACUCAGCCACUCACUACAACUGAAAAACAGAGUAGAGAAGAAGAGGAGAAGAACUGAAGAAGAAGAAAAAAAAGAAGAAGAAGAACUACGUACCUGAGCUGAGCAACAGUCGCAAAAAACUGAGGAGCAACAGUUCCGAAGAACGAAAGUCUCGUCCUCACUCUCGAAGGGGUAGCCAUUCGUGACGAAGAGGAGAAGAGUAGCGAUUCGCUAAGGUUUGCAAAAAUACCCCAAAAAAAAAUGGAAAUAGGCGAUGCUGCCUCACCUUUCGCCUUUGGCGAGAAGGGGAGCACCUUUCAAAACACUGCUUGUAUCAUUAUUUCCUACCCAUGGAACUUUUGGAGAAGAAAAUGGAAGAUUUGGAAGCAAUGAUAUUUGGCAAAGUUACUAUUUACCUUACGAUAGGUCCUAUCUUGCACUGGAUGGGUCAAUUUCAUCUUUUUAGGUUUUUGCUCUACUCCAGGUCAAAGGUUCAUAAAAUUAGCAAAAUCUCCUGUAUCUCCGCCUUUUGCAUUCGCUUUCAACAUAACUUCUUCUGGGAUUUCAUU